UACGAAGGGGGCUAGCGUUGCUCGGAAUCACUGGGCGUAAAGGGCGCGUAGGCGGACUCUUAAGUCAGGGGUGAAAGCCUGAGGCUCAACCUCAGAACUGCCUUUGAUACUGAGAGUCUCGAGACCGGUAGAGGUAAGUGGAACUGCGAGUGUAGAGGUGAAAUUCGUAGAUAUUCGGAGGAACACCAGUGGCGAAGGCGGCUCACUGGCUCGGUACUGACGCUGAGGUGCGAAAGCGUGGGGAGCAAACAGG
rnacentral:rRNA from 1 species